rnacentral:rRNA from 2 species
AAAUUGAAGAGUUUGAUCAUGGCUCAGAUUGAACGCUGGCGGCAGGCCUAACACAUGCAAGUCGAACGGUAACAGGAAGCAGCUUGCUGCUUUGCUGACGAGUGGCGGACGGGUGAGUAAUGUCUGGGAAACUGCCUGAUGGAGGGGGAUAACUACUGGAAACGGUGGCUAAUACCGCAUAACGUCGCAAGACCAAAGAGGGGGACCUUCGGGCCUCUUGCCAUCAGAUGUGCCCAGAUGGGAUUAGCUUGUUGGUGAGGUAACGGCUCACCAAGGCGACGAUCCCUAGCUGGUCUGAGAGGAUGACCAGCCACACUGGAACUGAGACACGGUCCAGACUCCUACGGGAGGCAGCAGUGGGGAAUAUUGCACAAUGGGCGCAAGCCUGAUGCAGCCAUGCCGCGUGUAUGAAGAAGGCCUUCGGGUUGUAAAGUACUUUCAGCGGGGAGGAAGGUGUUGUGGUUAAUAACCGCAGCAAUUGACGUUACCCGCAGAAGAAGCACCGGCUAACUCCGUGCCAGCAGCCGCGGUAAUACGGAGGGUGCAAGCGUUAAUCGGAAUUACUGGGCGUAAAGCGCACGCAGGCGGUCUGUCAAGUCGGAUGUGAAAUCCCCGGGCUCAACCUGGGAACUGCAUUCGAAACUGGCAGGCUUGAGUCUUGUAGAGGGGGGUAGAAUUCCAGGUGUAGCGGUGAAAUGCGUAGAGAUCUGGAGGAAUACCGGUGGCGAAGGCGGCCCCCUGGACAAAGACUGACGCUCAGGUGCGAAAGCGUGGGGAGCAAACAGGAUUAGAUACCCUGGUAGUCCACGCCGUAAACGAUGUCUACUUGGAGGCUGUGCCCUUGAGGCGUGGCUUCCGGAGCUAACGCGUUAAGUAGACCGCCUGGGGAGUACGGCCGCAAGGUUAAAACUCAAAUGAAUUGACGGGGGCCCGCACAAGCGGUGGAGCAUGUGGUUUAAUUCGAUGCAACGCGAAGAACCUUACCUGGUCUUGACAUCCACAGAAGUUUGCAGAGAUGCGAAUGUGCCUUCGGGAACUGUGAGACAGGUGCUGCAUGGCUGUCGUCAGCUCGUGUUGUGAAAUGUUGGGUUAAGUCCCGCAACGAGCGCAACCCUUAUCCUUUGUUGCCAGCGGUUAGGCCGGGAACUCAAAGGAGACUGCCAGUGAUAAACUGGAGGAAGGUGGGGAUGACGUCAAGUCAUCAUGGCCCUUACGACCAGGGCUACACACGUGCUACAAUGGCGCAUACAAAGAGAAGCGACCUCGCGAGAGCAAGCGGACCUCAUAAAGUGCGUCGUAGUCCGGAUUGGAGUCUGCAACUCGACUCCAUGAAGUCGGAAUCGCUAGUAAUCGUGGAUCAGAAUGCCACGGUGAAUACGUUCCCGGGCCUUGUACACACCGCCCGUCACACCAUGGGAGUGGGUUGCAAAAGAAGUAGGUAGCUUAACCUUCGGGAGGGCGCUUACCACUUUGUGAUUCAUGACUGGGGUGAAGUCGUAACAAGGUAACCGUAGGGGAACCUGCGGUUGGAUCACCUCCUUACCUGAAAGAAGCAAAAGAAGUAGGUAGCUUAACCUUCGGGAGGGCGCUUACCACUUUGUGAUUCAUGACUGGGGUGAAGUCGUAACAAGGUAACCGUAGGGGAACCUGCGGUUGGAUCACCUCCUUACCUGAAAGAAGC